ACUCAAAUGAAUAGACGGGGGCCCGCACAAGCGGUGGAGCAUGUGGUUUAAUUCGACGCUACGCGAAGAACCUUACCUGGGCUCGAACGACUGGUAGUACCCUAUUUGAAAGGAUGGGGGACCCGCAAGGGAGCCAGCCGAGGUGCUGCAUGGUUGUCGUCAGCUCGUGUCGUGAGAUGUUGGGUUAAGUCCCGCAACGAGCGCAACCCCUGUCCUGUGUUGCUACUCCGCAAGGAGAGGACUCUCAGGAGACUGCCACGGAUAACGUGGAGGAAGGCGGGGAUGACGUCAAAUCAUCAUGGCCUUUAUGUCCAGGGCCACACACGUGCUACAAUGGCGUAUACAACGGGAUGCGAAACGGUAACGUGGAGCAAAUCCCUUAAAGUACGCCUCAGUUCAGAUUGAGGGCUGCAAUUCGCCCUCAUGAAGGCGGAAUCGCUAGUAAUCGCAGAUCAGCAGGCUGCGGUGAAUACGUUCCCGGGCCUUGUACACACCGCCCGU
rnacentral:rRNA from 1 species